rnacentral:rRNA from 1 species
GAGUUUGAUCCUGGCUCAGAUUGAACGCUGGCGGCAUGCCUAACACAUGCAAGUCGAACGGUAACAGGUCUUCGGAUGCUGACGAGUGGCGGACGGGUGAGUAAUGCGUAGGAAUCUGUCUUUUAGUGGGGGACAACCCAGGGAAACUUGGGCUAAUACCGCAUGAGCCCUGAGGGGGAAAGCGGGGGAUCUUCGGACCUCGCGCUAAGAGAGGAGCCUACGUCCGAUUAGCUAGUUGGCGGGGUAAAGGCCCACCAAGGCGACGAUCGGUAGCUGGUCUGAGAGGACGACCAGCCACACUGGGACUGAGACACGGCCCAGACUCCUACGGGAGGCAGCAGUGGGGAAUUUUUCGCAAUGGGGGCAACCCUGACGAAGCAAUGCCACGUGGAUGAAGAAGGCCUUCGGGUUGUAAAGUCCUUUCGUGGAGGACGAAAAGGUGGGUUCUAAUACAAUCUGCUAUUGACGUGAAUCCAAGAAGAGCACCGGCUAACUCCGUGCCAGCAGCCGCGGUAAUACGGGGGGUGCAAGCGUUAAUCGGAAUCACUGGGCGUAAAGGGUGCGUAGGCGGUACGUUAGGUCUGUCGUGA